AGUAUACGCGGGCAAGUAGCGGAGGGAAUAUGUAGGGUGCGGGGGUUGUCCGGAAUUAUUGGGCGUAAAGAGCUCGUAGGCGGUCCGUCACGUCGGGCGUGAAAAUCCAGGGCUCAACCCUGGACCUGCGCCCGUUACGGGCGGACUAGAGUUCGGUAGGGGAGACUGGAAUUCCUGGUGUAGCGGUGAAAUGCGCAGAUAUCAGGAGGAACACCGGUGGCGAAGGCGGGUCUCUGGGCCGAUACUGACGCUGAGGAGCGAAAGCGUGGGGAGCGAACAGGAUUAGAUACCCCAGUAGUC
rnacentral:rRNA from 1 species